UACGGAGGGUGCGAGCGUUGUCCGGAAUCAUUGGGCGUAAAGAGCGUGUAGGUGGCUCGGUAAGUCCGCUGUAAAAGUCCAGGGCUCAACCCUGGAAAGCCGGUGGAAACUGUCGAGCUAGAGUCCGGAAGAGGCGAGUGGAAUUCCUGGUGUAGCGGUGAAAUGCGCAGAUAUCAGGAGGAACACCAAUGGCGAAGGCAGCUCGCUGGGACGGUACUGACACUGAGACGCGAAAGCGUGGGGAGCAAACAGG
rnacentral:rRNA from 1 species